rnacentral:misc_RNA from 1 species
UUUCCGUAGGUGAACCUGCGGAAGGAUCAUUAUUGUAUACCCGAGGUGCGAGGGCUGUCGCUGACCCGAAAGGUCGUGCACGCCCGAGUGCCCUCACACACAUCCAUCUCACCCCUAUGUGCACCACCGCGUGGGUCCCCCUUUGGCUUGUUCGGAGGGGGGCUUACGUUUUCACACAAACUUUGUAUGCAGUGUAGAAUGUAUUUUUUGUUUUUGCGAUCACGCAAUCAAUACAACUUUCAACAACGGAUCUCUUGGCUCUC